UACAGAGGUCCCGAGCGUUGUUCGGAUUCAUUGGGCGUAAAGGGUGCGUAGGCGGCGGGGCAAGUCUGAUGUGAAAUCCCGGGGCUCAACCCCGGAACUGCAUUGGAUACUGCCUUGCUAGAGUACUGGAGAGGGAACUGGAAUUUACGGUGUAGCAGUGAAAUGCGUAGAGAUCGUAAGGAAGGCCAGUGGCGAAGGCGGCUCUCUGGAACGCAACUGACGCUGAGACGCGAAAGCGUGGGGAGCAAACAGG
rnacentral:rRNA from 1 species